UUUUUAAAAAGUAAUUUAAUUUUAAUAAGCUUUAAACCCAUUAGUAAUUAAGUUGUCAAUGUUUUUACACUAAAACACGAAAGAGCCUGAACCGCGACAGUGUCACAAGUUGCCUUACAUCUCAAACAAAAAGAUGCAAGACUGCAAACUUUCCAGUACUUCUGUGUACUGAUAAUCCGGUUUCCACCCAGUCCCAGGAGAUUAUAUUAAACCUGGAAAAUAUUGGAGAAGAUCAAUUAAGUUUUCAGGAGCACAUUACUGUGAUAAAUGCUGAACUACGUAAAAGACAACCUGACUACACCAACAUAUCAAAAAUCUAAUCAG